GGCCGACUAGCUCAGUUGGUUAGAGCGUGGUACUAAUACGGAUUAGCGUGUUAUGCCAAGGUCGUCAGUUCGAUCCUGGCGUUGGCCA
rfam:Ceriporiopsis subvermispora B unplaced genomic scaffold CERSTscaffold_4, whole genome shotgun sequence.